UGCUUAGCGGCCAUUUUGUUCCAAGACGCAGUUGAAGUAGGUUGUCGGCUGUCACGCUCCUCACGAUGAAAAUUAAAAGGUGUAGCACGUUGAAACUAAUUUGCCACAUCAUUCAACUCAGACUUGGAAGUGGCCUGUACAUUUCCGAAAUGGCGUGCCUCGUGUGUCUCGCUGCCUCUUCUUAGGCGUACGUCUCAUCUCAUGCAACAGAAACAAGUAUACCAAACACUUCUUUAACGCUGGUGGUUACCUUGUUGCAGCCAAAUGGUGAAAGGUGUGACGAAGACAGAUUGAGCCUUUGUAUGCAGCAUGCAGUUGCAGUGUAAUCCAGGAGUUGCUGUGCUGUUGUAGCUGAG